rnacentral:lncRNA from 1 species
UGCAAAUUGCGAGGUUCGAGUGUUCGAUUUGUAUUCCGAACUUUUCCACACUUGGUGGAGGGCCGUCGAUGGUAUACCGGCCUAAAAGUUCGAUCUCGAGAGUUUUGGCUGAGUCCUGAGAGUUUUACUCUCGGGGACCGGUCCCUGAUAGGAGAGACCGGUCCCCCAGUGAACAGUGCUGCGUAGCCGGCGAGGCAACCGGUCCCUGGCAGUCGAGACCGGUCCUCGAGCGCGUCUGCGCGGGGAGAGACCGGUCCCGCGCAGGGAGAGACCGGUUCCCGAACGUUGGAUUUU